AAGCUCCGCCUCGGUCUCGCGAAAUGGAGCGAGACUACGGAAGCCGGAAGCACUGGGCUAAGCAUUUCCUGAGUUAAGGGCUGCGUACCGCUUCGAGGCCUUGGAGAUAGAAAAAUGAAAACAACUCCUGAUUUUUAAGUGGUGCACAGUCCAAUAAAGGAUUAGACAUAAGAAGUGGGUCAUGUGGCCUUGUCCAAUCAACUAAAGGUCUUAAGAGCAAAAUUGGAAGUUUCUGGAGAAAAAGGUAUUCUACCAAAUACUAUAAGAGAAAUCCUGCUCGAAUUUCUAGUUUGCUGGCCUGCCCUACAAAUGUCAGAUUCAACACUGUAACUUUUAACUCCUGUCUGAGUCUCCAACUGACCAGCCUGCCCUACUGAUUUUGGACUUGCUAGUUCCCACAAUCAUGUGGUAGUUAAA